GGGAGCCUUGUUGUGUCAAACGCC
rnacentral:siRNA from 1 species